UUGUCGUUGUACUUGACCACGAUGCCGUAGUCCCCGGGCAGCACGGGCAGGUAGGACACGGAGCAGGUGCCGUCCCCGUUGUCCUGGCAGCUGAUCUCGGCCUUGGAGGGACCCUCCACGGCCAGGGACAGACCCCCUGGGGACACGGGGGACAUUGGGGACAGGGUUAGGGACAGGGACAGACCCCCUGGGGACAUUGGGGACAUUGGGGACAGGGUUAGGGACAGGGACAGACCCCCUGGGGACAUUGGGGACAUUGGGGUUAGGGACAGGGACAGACCCCUGGGGACACGGGGGACACUGUCAGGGACAGACCCCCUGGGGACAUUGUCAAGGACAGGGCUCUGGGGAAUGACAGGGUCAGGUGUCCCCUGUGCUCCCCCAGGUAUCCCUGCUGUCCCCAGGUGUGUCCCCAGGUGUGUCC
rnacentral:lncRNA from 12 species